rnacentral:lncRNA from 1 species
CACAUGGCAAACCCCUCUUCAAAACAAGGGGAGGACUGGAUGCUGGCCACAGCAGCAGGAUUUUUAGGUGGCAGAAAUCAGACCGGCCUGUGACAAGACAUAGAGCCGGUUACGGGAGUAAUGCAGAUCCCCUUUUAACACUCACAGAUGGGCACACGGAGCCCGUUUGAUUCAAGCAGGAAGAAAUGCAAUACGGCAAAAUGAGCUCUUCAUAAAGAGUUUCUCCUCCCCACCUCAUCUCCUGCCUGUUUCCCCAGCACUUUUAAAAGUGCGUGUCCUUUCUCCUGGAGCACAACUGCCCGGCCAACAGCACAGAGGGUUCCUGGGUGCUGCCACCCCUCAUCCCUCCCUUCAGAGGUUUGCUGCCCACUGCACUCCCUUCAGGCACACCCCGCACUCAUUUCCUCUUUAGCUCUGUCACCGUUAUUCUCUUCUAUGCAGCCACUCGUGAGGACUCCUGGAAGGAGGCUGCUGAGAACUGUCUGGAUAUUCAGCAGACUUGCUUUCGUCUCUUCGCAGCGCCAACCCCGAGCUCCUCGUGUUUAACGAGCGCGUCAGGAGCCCCGUAGGGAGCAGAUCUGCAUCGCAAUGGUGGCAGCCAGACCCCAACGGCACAAAGUGCAUAGGAGUGAUGGGCAGCAAAGCAGGAUUCGCAGAUAGUUUUGUUUAUCAAAGCAGAAAACUGCGCGGCAGACAAUCUUCUGUACUUCAGAAACCAGUGAAAGAAACGGCCCUCUGCUGCAGCCGCGCAGAGGAGCAGCAGGUUAAAGUGCUUACAGACAACGGGUGCCACGGGGAGCAACUGGGAACCUUGACCCAGGUCAGUGGCAGAACUGGGAUCCAGCCUCAGCUGCCACACCUCCAGCCUCUGUGGCACAGUGCCCAGGCAGAGCUCCAGCAGCAGAGGACCAUGCCUGCAACCACCAAGGUACCAGGUAUCGCUAACAUUGCCCACUCCAUUACUGUACGCUCUGUCCAGGCAGCACUGGGAAGUCACUGUGUUCAAUACUGCAGAAAUGCAGAUAAAAGAGCAGCUGUUCUCUGUCCAGGAGAGCUUUUGGUCUAG